AACAUCAUUGAUCGUUCUUUGAUAGUUUUUUUUUUCCGUCGUUUUGAUAGUUUCUAUGAAGAAGAAGCUUAACUUAAAAUACAACUCAUAAAAGGCCUAUUAACUAAACAUAAACCAUUAUUUGAUAAAGCCCACACAGAGUCCAUACUACCUUCUCGAUCUUAUCACCCACCUUCUUCCUCCUCCAUCUCUUCCACUACUCCUCACCGUUUCAAAUCUGCCACCACACUUACCUCUACUGCUGCCGCCGUCUUAGGAAUCUCCUCCUCCGAUGUGUAUCGAGAUCUGAUGUAUUCAUGAUAGGAAUCAGUCUCCAAGUAAAGCUCUCGCAUCAUCUCUUUGUUAUCUCUUCUUUCCGGCGAUUCUCACUCAGAAGACGACCACGUAACCCUGAUCUCAUCUCAUGCGGAUUCUGAUAGUCUUGCGGUAUCUUUCUUUCUUCAGGCGUUUCGAAUUUUUGACCCACUGCUUCGUCUUGUCGUCCUCUCGCGCAUGUACAAUAUUCGGAGGUCUCUCCCUAAUUCUUUUGUUUCAAAAAAGCGAGGUAAAUUGUCUUUCAAUAAUUUCUUCUACUCUGAAACAUGUGUUGUGUUCUUUAUAAAUCUAUAUAAUUGAAAACACAUGUCUAAAAUUGAAGCUGUUAGACUCUAAUUCUCAAUAGUUAUGUCGUUAAUUGCCUUGGCGUUUAACUGAAAUUGAUGGAGUAAGAAAAUCAUGUUCAACGCUGCAAAAGUACUUUGUGACAAAAAAUUAUUUAAUUCUUUGAAUUCUUUUUAUUUUAAAAAGUUUUCAUAAGAUCUUAUUGUAAUUGUUGAGAUUAAAUAAGAACUUAAGUAAUAAUAUUCAGAUUGUUCAUACUUUAUAUAUUGUAUAAUAGAUUUUAAACUUUGAAGAUUUUGUAGUGAUUCCUGCUAUCUUGGUGUUUGCAAGGUACAAAGAUGGUCUUUGAGAGCAUCGCUGAAUAGAUUUGCAGAGUUGAAUUUAUAAAAACGUUUGAAGACUAACCUAAUAAGCAAUUAGAGGCACCUGGUCAAGCAUCAAUUGCAAGUAACAUAAACAGAUGGAGGAGGCUAUCACAUUUGGUCAUAAGAGCUAUUUCAGAAAUCUAUGGGCAGAAGGAUAUAUUGUACAACAUUCCAGAAGCAUUGAUUGCCAAAGAUUUGCGGAAAUUAUUUCAUCAGAUACGCGGAUCAAACGGAUCCUAAAGUUCAUGCCUUACCAAGAUCCGCGUCUUUUACCGCAUGAAUAUGGAUUUAGAUCCGACCCAAUAACCCAGGAUCCGCGUGUCUACAUGCCAGCAAAUUUACCAUUUUACCCUUGGACGAAUUUUUAAGUAUACUCUUAGAUUGGAUUAAUUGUAAUGGCAAUCUUUUGUAAUUUUUUACCCUUUAUAAGGUUUAUUAUUAGGGAAUACUUCUCAAUUAAUAGUA